rnacentral:rRNA from 1 species
UACGUAGGUGGCAAGCGUUGUCCGGAAUUAUUGGGCGUAAAGCGCGCGCAGGCGGUCCUUUAAGUCUGAUGUGAAAGCCCACGGCUCAACCGUGGAGGGUCAUUGGAAACUGGGGGACUUGAGUGCAGGAGAGGGAAGUGGAAUUCCCGGUGUAGUGGUGAAAUGCGUAGAUAUCGGGAGGAACACCAGUGGCGAAGGCGACUUCCUGGCCUGUUCUUGACGCUGAGGCGCGAAAGCUAGGGGAGCAAACGGG